rnacentral:rRNA from 1 species
UCUUGGUUAUAAAUUAAAUAAAUUUACCAGAGUACUAUGAAUAAUCAUAAAUUUAAAACUCAAAGAGCUUGGCGGUGUUUUAGACCACUUAGGGGAACCUGUCUCAUAAUCGACAAUCCGCGUUACACCUAACCCCUUUUUGCUUUCAGCUUGUAUACCGUUGUCGUCAGGUAACUUUUUAGAAACUGGAAGUUAGCUAUAAAUUUACAUAGAUUAAAACGUCAGAUCAAGGUGCAGUUUAUAAAGGGGAGAGGAUGGGUUACAAUUAUUAAUUUAUAACUACGGAAAACUUACCAGAACCGACAGUUUAAAGGAGGACUUGAAAGUAAAAUAGAUUAUGAAAAUAUCUUGAAUAUGGCUCUGAAACGUGC